AACGAACGCUGGCGGCAUGCCUAACACAUGCAAGUCGAACGAGACCUUCGGGUCUAGUGGCGCACGGGUGCGUAACACGUGGGAAUCUGCCCUUCGGUUCGGAAUAACAGUUAGAAAUGACUGCUAAUACCGGAUGAUGACGUAAGUCCAAAGAUGUAUCGCCGAGGGAUGAGCCCGCGUAGGAUUAGGUAGUUGGUGGGGUAAUGGCCUACCAAGCCGACGAUCCUUACCUGGUCUUAGAGGAUGACCAGCCACACUGGGACUGAUACACGGCCCAUACUACUACGGUCGUCCGCAUGGUGGAAUAUUGGAAGAUGGUCGAACACCUGAACCAGCCAUGCCGCGUGAGUUAUGAAGGCCUUAGGGUUGUAAAGCUCUUUUACCAUGGAUGAUAAAGACGGUACCUGGAGAAUAAGCUCCGGCUAACUCCGUGCCAGCCGCCGCGGUAA
rnacentral:rRNA from 1 species